GUCUAUGGCCAUGCCACCCUGAACAAGCCCGAUGUCUGAUCUCGGAAGCUAAGCAGGGUCAGGCAUGGUUAGUACUUGGAUGGGAGACCGCCUAAUAAGACCAGGUGCCGUAGGCA
rnacentral:rRNA from 1 species